rnacentral:rRNA from 1 species
UACGUAGGGUGCGAGCGUUGUCCGGAAUUAUUGGGCGUAAAGAGCUCGUAGGUGGCGGGUCACGUCGGGUGUGAAAGCCCGGGGCUUAACUCCGGGUCUGCAUUCGAUACGGGUCUGCUGGGGUCCGGCAGGGGAGACUGGAAUCCUGGUGUAGCGGUGAAAUGCGCAGAUAUCAGGAGGAACACCGGUGGCGAAGGCGGGGUCUCUGGGCCGGUACCGACGCUGGAGGAGCGAAAGCGUGGGGAGCGAAACAGGG